UAUGAAGUGACUUGGCUUGAGAACUGCUCCUUAUGGGAAUGAUUGUCACAUAAUGUGUAGAGAAAAUGGAAGAAUCAAAGGCAAGGGAAACCUGUACAGUGGAGACACAAAGGGUCACUGGCAGAUUUCAAAUGAUCCAAGACAUCCUCAAGGAAGAUUUACCACAAGUUACUUUAUCAUAGCUUUGAGUGGCAUUUUAAUAUCAUAUUUUAAAAGAAAGAAAACAAUAGAAAUGUAUUAAAAUAUCUUCUCAAGAAUCCUUCCAAACCACAAGGAAAAUCACCAGGCCAAAAGUGAGGUUUGAAGUCUGGACAUGUACUGGUUUUCUCUAGCAAUCGACUCUCAAUUUUUGGACAUUGAGAUCUGCUGGUUGGAGAUCUUAGUGCCCAAGGAAGAAUGCUUGCAAAAGGAGAUGGAACAGUGUUUCUGUUGCAUUGGCCACUGAGAAUAUCUGGUUAUUUUGAAUUUGUCACAGUCUGCAGCUAAAAGGCGAACAGGAAAAGAAGAGAGAGCGGUAAUUUGAAUGAUAGCAGAUUUCACAUCAGGAACCAAUGAAGCUAGAUAAGAAUGCAACAUCUUUGAUGUCUAAAAGAAACAAAAAGCCAACCUUGAAUUCUUUAUUUAGUGAAGUUACCCUUCAGAAAUGACGGCAAAAUAAAGAUGUUUUCCAAUAAAAGACAACUAUGAGAAUUCUUCACCAGCAGUCCUAUUGUAUCAGAACAGCCAAAAGAAGUUUGUCAGCCUACAGGGAAUUAUAUCAAAGGGAAGACUUGACCUUGAAAAUGAAUGAGGAAUAUAAGAAAUUGAUAUUAUCUGGGAAGCGGCACAUGAGACUAGCAGGAGUAAAUGUUAUAUACACUGGGCCUCGCAAAAAUUCUGCAAUCACUGGGAAUCAGUAACCUGGUAGAAUGAGAAAACAACGUAAUACUGAAAAAUCAAAACACCAUCCUACAGAACUUUGAUGCAUUCAGAACAAAGAUCACGAAUCAAGCUGAAAAAGUAAAGCAUUCUGUGAGUUGUGGAAUGGAAAUUGCCUCAACCAUCUCACCACUUGAUGACACUUGUAAUUUCAGUGACCCAAUUCAAGCAAUCAAACAUCAAGUAAUACUCUCAAUAAAGAUGUGUAAUUAAAACAGAAGAGGAAACAGACUAACAGAAGUGAUGAAGAAUGGCAGUUCUAAGGAUGGCAGGAAUUCACUGAAUGUCUAUCUAUCAUGUAUGCUGUUGGAGGCACCUGUCUUUCAGUUCAGAGGUUAUGGAUGUAUCUAUCAUCAGUAUUUCGGGAAGUCAGGGACCCGGAACAGAGGGACUUAAUGAAGCUGUGGCAGAAGAAAAAAUUAUGAAGAUUUCAUGGACAUUUAUUAGUUCCCCAAAUUAAUACUUUUAUAAUUUCUUACA
rnacentral:lncRNA from 1 species